rnacentral:rRNA from 1 species
UACGAAGGGGGCUAGCGUUGUUCGGAAUCACUGGGCGUAAAGCGCACGUAGGCGGCUUUGUAAGUUAGAGGUGAAAGCCCGGGGCUCAACUCCGGAAUUGCCUUUAAGACUGCAUCGCUAGAAUUGUGGAGAGGUAAGUGGAAUUCCGAGUGUAGAGGUGAAAUUCGUAGAUAUUCGGAAGAACACCAGUGGCGAAGGCGGUUCUCUGGGAAUGUUCUGACGCUGAGGAGCGAAAGUGUGGGGAGCGAACAGG